rnacentral:rRNA from 1 species
AGAGUUUGAUCAUGGCUCAGGAUGAACGCUAGCGGCAGGCUUAACACAUGCAAGUCGAGGGGUAUAGGUUUUCGGACCUAGGGACCGGCGCACGGGUGCGUAACGCGUAUGCAAUCUACCUUUUACAGAGGGAUAGCCCAGAGAAAUUUGGAUUAAUACCUCAUAGUAUUAUUGAAUGGCAUCAUUUAAUAAUUAAAGUCACAACGGUAAAAGAUGAGCAUGCGUCCCAUUAGCUAGUUGGUAAGGUAACGGCUUACCAAGGCAACGAUGGGUAGGGGUCCUGAGAGGGAGAUCCCCCACACUGGUACUGAGACACGGACCAGACUCCUACGGGAGGCAGCAGUGAGGAAUAUUGGUCAAUGGGCGCAAGCCUGAACCAGCCAUGCCGCGUGCAGGAUGAAGCAUCUAUGGUGUGUAAACUGCUUUUGUACGAGAAGAAACACUCCUACGUGUAGGAGCUUGACGGUAUCGUAAGAAUAAGGACCGGCUAACUCCGUGCCAGCAGCCGCGGUAAUACGGCGGGUCCAAGCGUUAUCCGGAAUCAUUGGGUUUAAAGGGUCCGUAGGCGGUUUUGUAAGUCAGUGGUGAAAGCCCAUCGCUCAACGGUGGAACGGCCAUUGAUACUGCAAGACUUGAAUUAUUAGGAAGUAACUAGAAUAUGUAGUGUAGCGGUGAAAUGCUUAGAUAUUACAUGGAAUACCAAUUGCGAAGGCAGGUUACUACUAAUAUAUUGACGCUGAUGGACGAAAGCGUGGGGAGCGAACAGGAUUAGAUACCCUAGUAGUCC